CCCUACGGGGCGCAGCAGGCGCGAAAACUUUACAAUGCGGGAAACCGUGAUAAGGGAACACCGAGUGCCAGCAUCAUAUGCUGGCUGUCCAGAUGUGUAAACUACAUCUGUUAGCAAGGGCCGGGCAAGACCGGUGCCAGCCGCCGCGGUAACACCGGCGGCCCGAGUGGUGACCGUUAUUAUUGGGUCUAAAGGGUCCGUAGCCGGUUUGGUCAGUCCUCCGGGAAAUCUGAUAGCUUAACUGUUAGGCUUUCGGGGGAUACUGCCAGGCUUGGAACCGGGAGAGGUAAGAGGUACUACAGGGGUAGGAGUGAAAUCUUGUAAUCCCUGUGAGACCACCUGUGGCGAAGGCGUCUUACCAGAACGGGUUCGACGGUGAGGGACGAAAGCUGGGGGCACGAACCGGAUUAGAUACCCGGGUAGUCCCAGCCGUAAACUAUGCUCGCUAGGUGUCAGGCAUGGCGCGACCGUGUCUGGUGCCGCAGGGAAGCCGUGAAGCGAGCCACCUGGGAAGUACGGCCGCAAGGCUGAAACUUAAAGGAAUUGGCGGGGGAGCACAACAACGGGUGGAGCCUGCGGUUUAAUUGGACUCAACGCCGGACAACUCACCGGGAACGACA
rnacentral:rRNA from 1 species